UUUAUCGGAGAGUUUGAUCCUGGCUCAGGACGAACGCUGGCGGCGUGCCUAAUACAUGCAAGUCGAGCGGACAGAUGGGAGCUUGCUCCCUGAUGUUAGCGGCGGACGGGUGAGUAACACGUGGGUAACCUGCCUGUAAGACUGGGAUAACUCCGGGAAACCGGGGCUAAUACCGGAUGGUUGUUUGAACCGCAUGGUUCAAACAUAAAAGGUGGCUUCGGCUACCACUUACAGAUGGACCCGCGGCGCAUUAGCUAGUUGGUGAGGUAACGGCUCACCAAGGCGACGAUGCGUAGCCGACCUGAGAGGGUGAUCGGCCACACUGGGACUGAGACACGGCCCAGACUCCUACGGGAGGCAGCAGUAGGGAAUCUUCCGCAAUGGACGAAAGUCUGACGGAGCAACGCCGCGUGAGUGAUGAAGGUUUUCGGAUCGUAAAGCUCUGUUGUUAGGGAAGAACAAGUACCGUUCGAAUAGGGCGGUACCUUGACGGUACCUAACCAGAAAGCCACGGCUAACUACGUGCCAGCAGCCGCGGUAAUACGUAGGUGGCAAGCGUUGUCCGGAAUUAUUGGGCGUAAAGGGCUCGCAGGCGGUUUCUUAAGUCUGAUGUGAAAGCCCCCGGCUCAACCGGGGAGGGUCAUUGGAAACUGGGGAACUUGAGUGCAGAAGAGGAGAGUGGAAUUCCACGUGUAGCGGUGAAAUGCGUAGAGAUGUGGAGGAACACCAGUGGCGAAGGCGACUCUCUGGUCUGUAACUGACGCUGAGGAGCGAAAGCGUGGGGAGCGAACAGGAUUAGAUACCCUGGUAGUCCACGCCGUAAACGAUGAGUGCUAAGUGUUAGGGGGUUUCCGCCCCUUAGUGCUGCAGCUAACGCAUUAAGCACUCCGCCUGGGGAGUACGGUCGCAAGACUGAAACUCAAAGGAAUUGACGGGGGCCCGCACAAGCGGUGGAGCAUGUGGUUUAAUUCGAAGUAACGCGAAGAACCUUACCAGGUCUUGACAUCCUCUGACAAUCCUAGAGAUAGGACGUCCCCUUCGGGGGCAGAGUGACAGGUGGUGCAUGGUUGUCGUCAGCUCGUGUCGUGAGAUGUUGGGUUAAGUCCCGCAACGAGCGCAACCCUUGAUCUUAGUUGCCAGCAUUCAGUUGGGCACUCUAAGGUGACUGCCGGUGACAAACCGGAGGAAGGUGGGGAUGACGUCAAAUCAUCAUGCCCCUUAUGACCUGGGCUACACACGUGCUACAAUGGACAGAACAAAGGGCAGCGAAACCGCGAGGUUAAGCCAAUCCCACAAAUCUGUUCUCAGUUCGGAUCGCAGUCUGCAACUCGACUGCGUGAAGCUGGAAUCGCUAGUAAUCGCGGAUCAGCAUGCCGCGGUGAAUACGUUCCCGGGCCUUGUACACACCGCCCGUCACACCACGAGAGUUUGUAACACCCGAAGUCGGUGAGGUAACCUUUUAGGAGCCAGCCGCCGAAGGUGGGACAGAUGAUUGGGGUGAAGUCGUAACAAGGUAGCCGUAUCGGAAGGUGCGGCUGGAUCACCUCCUUUCUAA
rnacentral:rRNA from 1 species